rnacentral:rRNA from 1 species
ACGGGGGGGGCAAGCGUUGUUCGGAAUUACUGGGCGUAAAGGGCUCGUAGGUGGCCAACUAAGUCAGACGUGAAAUCCCUCGGCUUAACCGGGGAACUGCCUUUGAUACUGCAAAUCUCGAGUCCGGAAGAGGUGAGUGGAAUUCCUAGUGUAGAGGUGAAAUUCGUAGAUAUUAGGAAGAACACCAGUGGCGAAGGCGGCUCACUGGUCCGGUACUGACGCUGAGGUGCGAAAGCGUGGGGAGCAAACAGGA